CACGUAGGGGGCAAGCGUUGUCCGGAUUUAUUGGGCGUAAAGAGCUCGUAGGCGGUUUGUCGCGUCGGCCGUGAAAACUUGGGGCUUAACUCCAAGCUUGCGGUCGAUACGGGCAGACUUGAGUUCGGCAGGGGAGACUGGAAUUCCUGGUGUAGCGGUGAAAUGCGCAGAUAUCAGGAGGAACACCGGUGGCGAAGGCGGGUCUCUGGGCCGAUACUGACGCUGAGGAGCGAAAGCGUGGGGAGCGAACAGG
rnacentral:rRNA from 1 species